rnacentral:lncRNA from 1 species
UCUAUUCUCCCACUCUCUCUCUACUUCCAUGUCUUCUCCUUUGCCGGACCUUUCUGCUGUAAAAUAAUAUAAAAAUUUGUCAGCUUUCUGCAAUUUUAUUCGGCUUGCCUGCAUUUUUGUCUUGAUUAUAUUCUCUGUCUCCAGUUUAAUAUUGCUCGUUGCAACUUUGGGUUAAGAUAUUUGGCCAAAGGAGAAUCCAUUGGUUUGCAGAAUGUUAAGAUUGUCAUCUCUUUAACAUACUUGAAGAAUCAUUUAGAAUGCUGCUUUGACAAGCUUUUUAAACUUUCAGAAUUUCUGUUAAAGAAUGCAAAGGUUUUGGAGAAGUCUCCGUUAUUUAGCCGGUAAUUACGGGUCGGCAACUGGAGGCAACGAUGACGGCGAGCAGAACUGAAUAUUGAUGCUGCUUCAACGAGAUAACAUUAGGGCUGUUCUUGAACAAAGACGACGUUGGGGGCUAAGUAACUUGAGUUUUCUGUUAAUAUAUUUCAAGUAUUUCAAUGUAUCUCGUAAUAUUUCGUGUUGAAUUGUUCCACAUAGGAGGGAUUUGAGGUCCUUGGUCUCCUUAUAUGGCUUGGGCAAUCCUCACCUCAUACACAUCGGAGGGAUUUGAGGUCCUUGGUCUCCUUAUAUGACUUGGCAAUCCUCACCUCAUAAGCUAGC